CUUUUCAACCCCAGACGUCAGUCUGGGGCUUUCCAUACAUCCACAGGCAGAGCUCCUCCGCCAACAGGCCUCCUUCCUUCACUGGUCAAGUGAAGAGUGAGCAGACUCUCACUUUCUACCCAAGCAACAUUCUAUACUCUUCCUGUCGGCCCUGGAGUCCUUAUGAGAAAAUGCCAGCUCAACAGAACAGGAUCCUGUCCGAGAACACCUUCAUUUGAUUUGCCAGCCAGGCCACAUGACCAGGGGCAAUCACUUCAAUUCAAUGAACGUCUAUUAAGCAUCAACUGUAUGCAUGGCACUGUAGAAUCCCUCAAAAAAUAGCUGCAUCACAGCUAAGUGCCUUGUACUGUCAUAUGCUUUGAAGGAUAAAAAGAACCAUUACACACAGUUCCCAACCUCCAAAAGCUUACAGUCUAUUUGAGAACACAAAACAUGAAACAAUUAAAGGAUAAUUUAGUUCCAAACUAUGGAGUAUUGGCUUCUGUGUGCUAGAAGAUCAGAAGAGGAUCUGAUGAAGCACUAAGGCAGGGGUGGGGACUUGCAGCCUUGAGGCCAUACGUGGCCCUCUGGUCCUCAAGUGUGGCCCUGGAUUCAAAGGGCAGCACUUGAGGACCUAGAGGGCUGCAUGUGGUUCCCCAUCCUUGCCACUAAAGAAGAUUUCAUUGGAGAGGUGGGGUGAGUUGAGCCUUAGAAGAUGGGUAAAGUUUUGAUGGACAAAGGGGAGGAGGAAGGUAGACAAUAUGAAUGCAAUAUACUUCUCCUUUCUUAUGCGGGCAUUUUAUUUGCUGAGGGGGGAAAGACUUUUGUGUUAGAAACCAAGAAAAAGAAGCUUAAGAUGCAUUGAAGUCCUGAGAGAAAACAGUUCCUCAGACAGAAGUACUAAGAGCACCUGUUGCAGUGCAGCUCUGAAACACAUGCACUGAGUGGCCAUAGUGAUGCUGCAAUGAAUUGUUUCCCAGCAAUUACCCUGGAUCUGACUGUUUUCAGGAUUUUGGAAUUUAUUGCUGGGAAACUCUGCAUUAAAGAAUUGUUUGGAGACUGCAGGAUUGCUGUAUAAUAACUGUCUGUGAUA
rnacentral:lncRNA from 1 species